ACAUGGGCAUGUAACUCAGUAGU
rnacentral:piRNA from 1 species